UACGAAGGGGGCUAGCGUUGCUCGGAAUUACUGGGCGUAAAGGGCGCGUAGGCGGAUACUUAAGUCGGGGGUGAAAGCCCAGGGCUCAACCCUGGAACAGCCUUCGAUACUGGGUAUCUUGAGUACGGGAGAGGUGUGUGGAACUGCGAGUGUAGAGGUGAAAUUCGUAGAUAUCAAGCGGAACACCGGUGGCGAAGGCGGCCUUCUGGACAGUGACUGACGC
rnacentral:rRNA from 1 species